AAAAAUUGUGCAAGUUAAACGAGUCUGGGUUUGGCGUUGGUAAAUAAAAAUAAGGACUCUUCCGAAAUUGCUUCAAGAAUCUGACCGUAAUCUUUAACAUAAAAAUUAGUUAAAGACCGAGUAAUGUGGAGAGGCGAGCUCCGACCGUGUGCAAGUUAUCUGGUGUUAAAUAUCGGAAGGCUAACAGCAUACGAUAUUUUUUGUACCGAAUUAGGCAUCGUCAUCCUAUCCGUACUGAGGCAAUAUAGUAAUUUUGAAAGAUGCAAGGAAAGAUGUGCCAGAUCAAUUCAUGUUUUGAGUUUUGAGUUUUAACAAUUUCAUAGGAAUAGAUUAGGACAAAAGCAAAAAGAUGGAAAAAAGCCGGUUGGAAACCGAAAAAAAGCAGAUGGAGUUAG